UCUGAACCAGUGUAGGAUGCUGUCAUGGUCAAAGCAUUUUCACCUUGACAGAAUGUGGCUAAUGACAAAGCAGAAUUAACAACUUGGUUGCUCUAGACCCUUGUUCAAGGGAGAGUAAACAGGACAUAUAUCAGGAUGACAUCCAAACAGGGUGGGUAUAGAAUGCCAAGUAUGUCAGCCCUGGAAAAUUAUAACAUUCUGCAGUGCCAACUCCCCUACCACUGUUAAAAGUGAGGCAGGUGCAAACUGUCCGUUUCCCCAAGGCUCUUUGGGUUAGUGUUUUUUUCUUAGUACAAAACUCAGAGGAACAAUGGAAUUAGACACAAUUGGCUCAACUGCUUUAUUUCACUUUUUAAAAGAAAGGCAAAUUCCAGGAACCAAAAGACUUUUGAUGGGUCUCUUUGACACGCACAAAAUAAAGCAGUAUGUGAGUUUAAGCCAAAAUAUAGUAAAUGUCUAGCCUUAACCCUGGUUUGACUUUUAAAUUCUCUCUUCUAAAGGCCAAUAGCCAUAAUAACCAUCUGGAAUCAGCCUCAUAUAUUGAUUUUCUCAGCUUUUCUCCAUCUUAUCAAGGUGAGAGAAUCACAAGUAGAAGAUUUUUCUUUAAAAAAAGCUGUCACCUAGGCUCCCCAAAACCAAUUAAAAUGGGGAAUGCUGAAAGAACUAAUAAAAGCCAGCAAAUAAUAGUUUAAUUCUUCUUGGCUUGAUGUUUCCAUGAAAGAGACAUUCCUAGUUUGAAGAAUUGAUAGGCUCUUUAACUGAAAUAUUAUUUCUUAGACACCCUAACAUUUUCUACCUACUCUCUAUGUACUUCACAUGUGUCAUUUAACCACAAUAUGAGAUAGGGGCUAAUAAUCAAUGUCCCCUAAUAGUGCUAUGAAUACAUUAAUAACUAAAUAUUAGAGAUACUGGAAAACAAAAUUAUUUUCAAAUUCUAAAGGAAAAACUCAAAAACUAUUAGAAUUAUUCAGAAACUUGUGAAGGUGGUUGGAUACAACAUAAAUAUGCCCAAAAUCAAUAGCUUUCUUCCAUAUUCAUAAUAAGGACUUAGAAGUUGUUAUGGGCAUAAAAUCUCAGAUGAAAAUUAUAAACGUUAUAAGGUAUAAAGCUAAUGAGACUUAUUGUAAAACCUUAUUGAACACAUUAUCUGAAGAAAUACUGAAUUCUUGAAGGGGAAGAGGUAAAAAAUAUUAGCCUCCCCAAAUUAACAUGUUAAUGUAAUAUUUCAGUUUAAAUUUCAACUGGGUGAAGUUUUGAAAUUGAAAUUAAUGAUCUUUCAUUGAGCUACAUCCCCAGCUCUUUAAAUUUUUUUAAUUUGGGUUGAGAUAGGGUCUCCCUAAAUUGCCAGGGCUGGCCUCCAAUUUGCAAUUCUCCUACUUCAGCCUCCCAAGUCUCUAGGAUUAUAGGUGUGUACUGGAGAAAUUACACUGCCUGGAGAAAUAAAUUAUCUUUAAAAUUCAAGUGAAAUAAGAAAAUAAAUAUAUUAAUUACUAAAAUAGAACUGAGUCCAGAAGUUGAUUCUAGUAUAUAACAAGUUAAUUUAUGACAUGACAUAUUUUGAUAGGAAAGAAUGUCACUUGGCAAAAUACUGCCACAACUAGCC
rnacentral:lncRNA from 1 species